CAGCUCUCCGAGUCUGACAUAUUUCUCUGGCUAAAAGGGAAGAAACAUAUCGGCACUCAUGUUGGGAAGACCUUAGAACAGCAAAGUACUAAAACUUGCCAAACCAACUUCAAGUGGCUUUCUUGUUAGUGCAAUACACACUGCACUGAGUUCCUGAGCAUAAUAUUUCCACCCUUUCCCACGGAGUCUGCUUAAAUUUGAAGAUUUUUUUUCUAGUAGGUGUAUUGUCCUUAAUUUUGGAGGAAGUUUUAAAAAGGUGGAUUAAUGUUAUAUAUGCUUCCGAGAAUAUUAUGCAACCAUGAAGCUUUGCACUUCAACAUAAAUGAAUCCCAAAAAGAGCCAGAUGAACUGUUGGCUGGGAGGCAGAGCCUUAGGAUGUUUCAAAUUCAUCGUGACUUCACAUAAAGGUCCUCUCUGGAGUAUGAAAGUCAAUUUUACAGGUGUAAAAUAAAGGAAAAGACGACAGUCUGAAAGUCAAACGAAAUUCCAGGACCACCUGUAUUUCAGUGAGGUUGCCUCUCAUAUCUCUUCAUCAUAUAUACCUCUUCAAAUUCAAUCGAGAUUUCAAUUCGUCUCACUUCUCCCCAACCUUACUCUGAUCUCCUGGUAAUUUUAGAGUAAUUGAGAAUAUUUUCUAACAUACGUGUCAACAUAAUGAAGGAGCUGGGACCUAAGUGAAGAAGCGACAAAAUUUACAGUGGCUUUGAAUGCUGGUUCCUGAAUGGAUUUGCUUGACUGCAAUUCAAUCUUUUUUGUGGCUCAAGGCUCACUCACCUCUAAAAGGCACUUUGUUUGUCAGAAUCGAUUUAAAUCAAUUUCUGUGGAAAUUAAAAUUAAAUAUGGUAUCCCUAAGAUUCUUGCAUUUAUUUCAAUUUUUAAAUUAUUGAUUUAUACAUGAUUUUUAUGCCCCAUCAUUAUAUGAACAUUUAUAUAAUUAGUG
rnacentral:lncRNA from 1 species